ACUCCACCACUACCACAUAUCUACAGUACACUGUGUGCCCUCAGGCCCCUACUCCACCACUACCACAUAUCUACAGUACACUGUGUGCCCUCAGGCCCCUACUCCACCACUACCACAUAUCUACAACACACUGUGUGCCCUCAGGUCCCUACUCCACCACUACCACAUAUCUACAGUACACUGUGUGCCCUCAGGCCCCUACUCCACCACUACCACAUAUCUACAGUACACUGUGUGCCCUCAGGCCCCUACUCCACCACUACCACAUAUCUACAACACACUGUGUGCCCUCAGGUCCCUACUCCACCACUACCACAUAUCUACAACACACUGUGUGCCCUCAGGCCCCUACUCCACCACUACCACAUAUCUACAGUACACUGUGUGCCCUCAGGCCCCUACUCCACCACUACCUCAUAUCUACAGUACACUGUGUGCCCUCAGGCCCCUCCUCCACCACUACCUCAUAUCUACAACACACUGUGUGCCCUCAGGCCCCUAGUCCACCACUACCACAUAUCUACAACACACUGUGUGCCCUCAGGCCCCUACUCCACCAC
ensembl:lncRNA